rnacentral:rRNA from 1 species
AUACGUAGGUGGCAAGCGUUAUCCGGAAUUAUUGGGCGUAAAGAGGGAGCAGGCGGCAGCAAGGGUCUGUGGUGAAAGCCUGAAGCUUAACUUCAGUAAGCCAUAGAAACCAGGCAGCUAGAGUGCAGGAGAGGAUCGUGGAAUUCCAUGUGGAGCGGUGAAAUGCGUAGAUAUAUGGAGGAACACCAGUGGCGAAGGCGACGAUCUGGCCUGCAACUGACGCUCAGUCCCGAAAGCGUGGGGAGCAAAUAGGAUUAGAUACCCUAGUAGUCCACGCCGUAAACGAUGAGUACUAAGUGUUGGAUGUCAAAGUUCAGUGCUGCAGUUAACGCAAUAAGUACUCCGCCUGAGUAGUACGUUCGCAAGAAUGAAACUCAAAGGAAUUGACGGGG